rnacentral:sRNA from 1 species
UGGCAGUGGGCAUGUCUUAGGGAAGCCCCUCUGUACGAGUUCCCUUAUCUGUGCCUGCAGCAUGAUUUUUUUUUUUUUUUUUUUUUUUUUUUUGAGACGGAGUCUCACUCUGUCACCCAGGCUGGAGCGCAGUGGCAUGGUCUCGGCUCACUGCAAACCCGCCUCCUGGGUUCACACCAUUCUCCUGCCUCAAUCUCCCAAGUAGCUGGGACUACAGGCACCCACCACCACGCCCGGCUUUUUUUUUUUUUUUUUGUAUUUUUAGUAGAGAUGGGGUUUCACCAUGUUAGCCAGGAUGGUCUGGAUCUCCUGACCUGGUGAUCCGCCCGCCUGUGCCUCCCAAAGUGUUGGGAUUACAGGCGUGAGCCACCGCGCCCAGCCUCCAGCAUGAUUUUUUUAGGCCGUUCUUUUGUUUGAAAGAAUUCAACUAAGGAUCCACUCUGCCUGCCUGACCGGUUUCUUCCUUUCUUCUCUCUCAUCGGGUCCCGAGUUCCCAUGACUGCAGCUUCCAGAAGAGCAGAGCUUUGGUAUCCUACUCACAGCGCCAAAACUGCAGAGACCAAGGAAAGAUACAAAAUUCUUGUGUGCAGCCUCUUUUGGACUCCAGCUCUUGUUCUCUCGCUGAAUCCCACUGCCACCCCUUCAAGUCAUCAGCUGUGAUUCACCUGUGGGUUUCUGAAGGCUAGAAGCUUCCACAGUGAGCCAGGAAACAAGUUCUGAUUGGCUGGGAACAGACCCCUGCUCCAAGAUUCAGGGCUGGCAGUAUUCCUUCUGUUCUGGUGGCUGGUGGCUCAAUCCUCAUUGCUUUCCUCUGGACUUGUAAGUUAUUCCAACAAAUCCCAGCUGCUCUGCAGUGAAAUGUUCCAAAUAAUUAAUAUUUCUGCAGGAAUUACCUUGUAAAAGAUAUGUGCUUUUAAGCAUUUGGUUAUUGUGCAAAUGUUUUUGACUGCCUUUUGUGGCCAAUUUUCUCCUUCAGCGGGCUCAUGUAUAAUUUUAGAUAAAAGUACAAGGAAAUUAUGAUUCCAUAAUCAUAAGUCUACUUUCAGCAAUACACGUAUCUUCAGAGAAUCCCAGCCUCCCUGCAGCAUCCUCCUGGUGCACAGAAAAACUGCUGAAUUCUGGCAAGAUACCCAAAGGAUUCUGACAGGUGGCCAUCUCAGGCCGGAGAUAUGCCCAACCAACUGGAAAAGCAGAGACAGCCAUGGACAGAUCUGCUGAUGCUAAAGUGUACAGACAGCUGAGGUGCAACCCGUAUAAUCACCCAGAUAUUAUUAGGCCAUGAUCAUUCUGUAGUAAGCUACCUCCCUUCUGUGUUUCCUCUCACCUGAGAGCCUACUGUGGGCACUUCCAAGGCCCCACUGUGUCCAAAUCACACCACCACCAAAGCUCACAGAAACACGCUGGUAGAUUUCUCCUCUUUGGUGGUUUCCCAUGACCAGCCAAGGGAAAUACCCAACAAUCAUUCUCAGAGUGCACAGAUUUGCCUUCAGUUUUUUUGGUUAUAUUGUCAUUAUUAUUUUCUUUGUCCAGUGGGAGAGUUAAGGGGCCUGCUAUGGACUGAACUCUGUCCCCCUCAAAUUCAUAUGUUGAAGCCCCAACCUUCAACGUGACUAUAUUUGAAAACAGUCCCUUCAUGGAGGUAAAGUUAAAUGAGAUCAUAAGAGUGGGGCCCUUGUUCGAUAGAAUUGGUGUCCUUACAAGAAGAGCAAGAGGCUGAGUGCAGUGGCUCAAGCCUAUAAUCCCAGCACUUUGGGAAGCUGAGGCAGGAGGUACCCUUGGGCCCAGGAGUUCAAGACCAGCCUGGGCAACAUAACAAGACCCUAUCUCUACGGAAAAAAAUUAAAAAUUAACCAGGUGUGAUGGCGUGUGCUUGUGGUACCAGCUACUCAGGAGGCUGAGAUGGGUGGAUGGCUUGAGCCUGGGAGGUCAAGGUUGCAGUGAGCUGUGAUAGCACUGCACUCCAGCCUGGGUAACAGAGCAAGACCCUGUCCUUCUCCACACCGCCCCAACUCCCCAAAAAGAGGAAGAGAUACUAGAGCGCACUCUCUCAAUCUCUCUCUCUCUCUUCCACGUGAGGACACAGGAAAAAAAAAAAAAAUAAGCCCAUCUGCAAGGCAGGAAGACAGCCUUCAACAGCAACGAAAUCAGUCAGCACCUUGGUUUGGACUGCUCGGUCUCCAGAACGAGGGAAAAUAAAAUAAAUGUCUGUAGAAUUAAGCU